AGACUUCUGUCCUUCAGCCAGAGCCUGGCCGAGUGGAAGCUUUUCAUCUACAGCCGGACCACCGGAGAGAUCCUGGGGCGCACCGCCAAGAAUUGGGGUUUGAUCUUGCUCUUCAACCUUGUCUUUUAUGGGUUCCUGGCUGCAGUCUUUUCAUUCACACUGCAGGCCAUGCUUCAGACUCUGAACCAUGAUGAGGUUCCAAAAUACCGUCACCGGAUUCCUAGUCCAGGACUUAGGUUUUUCCAAAACCAGUGUUGGGGUUGGAUUUUUGAUUCAGCCUGUCUGAUUCGGAAUCCUAUCAAGGGAACAUUGAUGACUUUAAGAAAUUUCUAAAACCAUAUGGCUUAGAAAAACAGAAGAAUCUCACAGAUUGUACCAAUGGAAACUUUUUUGAGCAGAAGGGUCCAGAAUACACAGCAUGCCAGGCUCCCUGCAGUGGUGUGGAUGAUCCCACGUUUGGCUACCAAGCAGGAAACCCUUGUAUUCUUGUGAAAACGAGCAAAAUAAUUGGAUUAAAGCAUCACAGAGAACCAAGGAUAGACUUUAUUGCAAAGAGUGAAAGCACAGCAGUUCUAUCAACUUAUCCUCCCAAUGAAAAGAUAGAUUUAAAAUAUUUUCCAUAUUGUGGAAAGAAACUUCAUGGGAGCAACCUGCAGCCACUAGUUGCUGUCCAGCUCAGUUUUGGUAGUGAUGGUGACAUAAAAGAAGCAAUGGUUGAGUGCAAGAUUGAUGGAUCAUCCAACCUAAAAAUCCAAAAUGACCAUGACAGGUUUUCAGGAUGA
rnacentral:lncRNA from 1 species